rnacentral:rRNA from 1 species
GAUGAACGCUAGCGGCAGGCUUAACACAUGCAAGUCGAGGGGUUGAGUUAGCUUGCUAACUUGAGACCGGCGCACGGGUGCGUAACGCGUAUGCAAUCUACCUUGUACAGAGGGAUAGCCCAGAGAAAUUUGGAUUAAUACCUCAUAGUAUUAUUGAAUGGCAUCAUUUGAUUAUUAAAGUUCCAACGGUACAAGAUGAGCAUGCGUCCCAUUAGCUAGAUGGUAAGGUAACGGCUUACCAUGGCAACGAUGGGUAGGGGUCCUGAGAGGGAGAUCCCCCACACUGGUACUGAGACACGGACCAGACUCCUACGGGAGGCAGCAGUGAGGAAUAUUGGUCAAUGGGCGCAAGCCUGAACCAGCCAUGCCGCGUGCAGGAAGACGGUCCUAUGGAUUGUAAACUGCUUUUAUACGGGAAGAAACCCUGCUACGUGUAGCAGCUUGACGGUACCGUAAGAAUAAGCAUCGGCUAACUCCGUGCCAGCAGCCGCGGUAA